rnacentral:sRNA from 1 species
AGGUCUCCAGGGGAGCGAUGGCAGCCGGUGGUCUGAGUCGCUCCGAGCGCAAAGCGGCUGAGCGGGUCCGGAGGUUGCGGGAGGAGCAGCAGAGGGAGCGCCUCCGCCAGGUGUGCGACGACCCGGAGGAGCUGCGGGGGAAGGUCCGGGAGCUGGCCAGCGCCGUCCGGAACGCCAAAUACCUGGUCGUCUACACAGGCGCGGGAAUCAGCACGGUAGGGAGGGAGGCGGAGGCGCACCCGAGGACGGAGUAUGCGCUCCAGUAAUCGCGAAAAACUCGCCUUUAAAACAGCUCUAAGGUUUUUUCCCUUUCUUAAAGAAACGAAAUGACCAAAACUUAUCUAAGGUAAACGCUUUUUAAACGCUUGGUCUCUGUGUUACAGCCAGUUAAACAAGGAGUAGAGAUACGAAUGGGGUGUAGUAGCCGACUGUUCGCAGGCACCCCCAGGUUAUGUGGACAGAGC